rnacentral:rRNA from 1 species
UACGUAGGGUGCAAGCGUUAAUCGGAAUUACUGGGCGUAAAGCGUGCGCAGGCGGUUCGUUGUGUCGGCGGUGAAAGCCCCGGGCUUAACCUGGGAAUGGCCGUUGAAACUGGCGAACUGGAGUGUGGCAGAGGGGGGUGGAAUUCCGGGUGUAGCGGUGGAAUGCGUAGAGAUCCGGAGGAAGACCGGUGGCGAAGGCGGUCUGCUGGGCAGUUUCUGGCACUGAGGCGCGACAGCGUGGGGAGCAAACAGG